rnacentral:rRNA from 1 species
UACGUAGGUGGCAAGCGUUGUCCGGAUUUAUUGGGUUUAAAGGGUGCGUAGGCGGCUUUUUAAGUCAGUGGUGAAAUAUGGCAGCUCAACUGUCAGGGUGCCAUUGAUACUGCGGAGCUUGAGUACAGAUGAGGUAGGCGGAAUUGACGGUGUAGCGGUGAAAUGCUUAGAUAUCGUCAAGAACACCGAUAGCGAAGGCAGCUUACUAGGCUGUAACUGACGCUGAGGCACGAAAGUGUGGGGAUCAAACAGG